GCGGAUAUGGCGAAAUUGGCAGACGCGCCAGCUUCAGGUGCUGGUGAGGGCAACCUCAUGCAGGUUCAAGUCCUGUUAUCCGCA
rnacentral:tRNA from 1 species